CCUGUCUGUCAACCCCACACACGCUUUCCCACUUUCAUUUCAGACGUCUCCUGAAAGCUGAGCAUUUGGUAUCUCAAAGCCUCUUACCAGUUUGGAGAGAUAUGGAUCUUCUAAAAUUAAUAAGCUCCUUAAUAUCGACACUGUUUAUCAACACAAAGGACCAAUUUAGGAAGAUUAUAAAAACUGAAGUUUCCGGAACAAUAAAUGGGAGAAUUAAUCUUCUAAAUCAAGGAUGUAUCCCUGAAUCUGGGGAGCUCUCUAUCAAAAUAUACAUGCUGGAACCCUACCAAAGGAAUAAUAAAUCUGGAAUGAGGCCCUGACUGUCUAAUUAGGAAAAGACUCCUUCCUGGAAUUCUGCACAUCUCCCUACACCUUAGUGAUGGUUAAAUAAAUAAUUAU
rnacentral:antisense_RNA from 1 species